UUCAUGGAGAGUUUGAUCCUGGCUCAGGACGAACGCUGGCGGCGUGCCUAAUACAUGCAAGUCGAGCGGAUCGACGGGAGCUUGCUCCCU
rnacentral:rRNA from 1 species